GGCGCGGUGGCAGAGUGGCUAUGCAGGGGCCUGCAAAGCCCCGUACGCCGGUUCGAUUCCGGCCCGCGCCUCCA
rnacentral:tRNA from 1 species